rnacentral:rRNA from 1 species
GACGAACGCUGGCGGCGUGCCUAAUACAUGCAAGUCGAACGAACUCUGGUAAUGAUUGGUGCUUGCAUCAUGAAUUACAUUUGAGUGAGUGGCGAACUGGUGAGUAACACGUGGGAAACCUGCCCAGAAGCGGGGGAUAACACCUGGAAACAGAUGCUAAUACCGCAUAACAACUUGGACCGCAUGGUCCGAGUUUGAAAGAUGGCUUCGGCUGUCACUUUUGGAUGGUCCCGCGGCGUAUUAGCUAGAUGGUGAGGUAACGGCUCACCAUGGGAAUGAUACGUAGCCGACCUGAGAGGGUAAUCGGCCACAUUGGGACUGAGACACGGCCCAAACUCCUACGGGAGGCAGCAGUAGGGAAUCUCCCACAAUGGACGAAAGUCUGAUGGAGCAACGCCGCGUGAGUGAAGAAGGGUUUCGGCUCGUAAAACUCUGUUGUUAAAGAAGAACAUAUCUGAGAGUAACUGUUCAGGUAUUGACGGUAUUUAACCAGAAAGCCACGGCUAACUACGUGCCAGCAGCAGCCGCAG